ensembl:snRNA U6 U6 spliceosomal RNA
GUGCUCACUUCAGCAGCAUAUAUACUAAAAUUGGAAUGAUACAGAGAAGAUUAGCAUGGCCCCUGCCCAAGGAUGACAUAUACAUUUGUGAAGCAUUCUGUAUUUUU